rnacentral:tRNA from 1 species
GGGGUUGUGGCUCAGUGGCAGAGCACUUGCCUGUCACAUGCGGGGCAUCAGGUUCGAUCCUCAACACCA